rnacentral:rRNA from 1 species
UACGGAGGAUGCAAGCGUUAUCCGGAAUUAUUGGGCGUAAAGCGUCCGCAGGUGGCACUUCAAGUCUGUCGUCAAAGACCGGGGCUUAACCCUGGAAAGGCGAUGGAAACUGAAAGGCUAGAGAGAGGUAGGGGUAGAGGGAAUUCCCAGUGUAGCGGUGAAAUGCGUAGAGAUCGGGAGGAACACCGGCGGCGAAGGCGGCUGCCUGGACCAGUCCUGACGCUGAGGCGCGAAAGCGUGGGGAGCAAACAGG